CACGCCGCGUGCUGGAAGACGGCCCUAUGGGUUGUAAACAGCUUUUACUGGGGGAAGAACCCCGGGGGAUUCGUCCCCCCGCUGACGGUACCUGGUGAAUAAGCACCGGCUAACUCCGUGCCAGCCACCUCGGUGACUGAGCGGGCUGGCAAGGCGCAUA
rnacentral:rRNA from 1 species